GGUCAUGUAAAAUGUGCUCAAUACUUGUCAAUUCAAAUCAUGGUUGAUUUAAAUGUGAUUGUCUGCACUUAAACAACGAUUGAAUGGACCCCGUUCAGUAAAUAGAACUUAACUGCUGAAUACUCAAGGUUUUAUUAAAAUGUAUUGCACAGGUGAGCGAACGAAGACUUUGCUGUAUCUCUUGUGAAAUCAUAACGCCAGGGUGUAUAAACCUGUAUCUAACCAAAGCGUGUUAGGGAUCGUUUGACAAUGAAACGGUUUGGACUUGCAUUCUUUGUCACGGCGCUGCUUUUGAGCGCGAAUGGUGGGGCAGCGUCUGUCAUCUGCUACGUGUGUUCUGGAAGUUCGGCGUGUAAUCUGAACCUCUCUCUCAAUACAGAGUCUGGAUGCACGGUCUGUAAAAAGACGGAAAUAAAUGGCGCCGUUACCCGAUCUUGCGAUAGAUCCUUCCUCAUCUUCUACAGCAGGUCUUGUACCACUUCCGGUGGAAGUACGGAGUGCUACUGUAACACCGACUAUUGCAACAGUGGCAGGCGUAUCACAUUUUCUGUGUCGACACUCGUACUUGCGUUUGUCGCCGCUUACUUUGGUCUCGAUCGGAAGUAACAGCGAUAUGUCGAACCGUGUGAAAGAAGAGCUUUAUUAAUAAAUAUAUAUUUGGUUUUGAAUGACAUUUAUUUCAAAUGAUUGAUUUUUUUUUCACAUUUUAAAUAGACACUGUGUGUUAUUGCUCGUCAUUAUAAAGUCUUAUAUAAUAUGGAUGAUUUAAUGCUGAGUUUAUACGAAGCGUCAGGUUAAUAAAUAAAGUUCAUUUCAGUUA